rnacentral:rRNA from 1 species
CACAAACACACACGCACA